rnacentral:rRNA from 1 species
UACACGACCGUACCGCAAACCGACACUGGUGCGCGAGAUGAGUAUUCUAAGGCGCUUGAGAGAACUCGGGAGAAGGAACUCGGCAAAUUGACACCGUAACUUCGGAAGAAGGUGUGCCUUUAGUCAGUGAACCAUUUACUUGGGGAGCUAAACGAGGCUGCAAAAAAUCGGUGGCUGCAACUGUUUAUUAAAAACACAGCACUCUGCUAAGACGAAAGUCGACGUAUAGGGUGUGACGCCUGCCCGGUGCUGGAAGAUUAAAUGAUGGGGUGCAAGCUCUUGAUUGAAGUCCCAGUAAACGGCGGCCGUAACAAUAACGGUCCUAAGGUAGCGAAAUUCCUUGUCGGGUAAGUUCCGACCUGCACGAAUGGCGUAAUGAUGGCCACACUGUCUCCUCCCGAGACUCAGCGAAGUUGAAAUGUUUGUGAUGAUGCAAUCUCCCCGCGGAAAGACGGAAAGACCCCAUGAACCUUUACUGUAGCUUUGUAUUGGACUUUGAACAGAUCUGUGUAGGAUAGGUGGGAGGCUUUGAAGCCGGGACGCUAGUUCUGGUGGAGCCAACGUUGAAAUACCACCCUGGUGUGUUUGAGGUUCUAACCUAGGUCCAUUAUCUGGAUCGGGGACAGUGCAUGGUAGGCAGUUUGACUGGGGCGGUCUCCUCCCAAAGUGUAACGGAGGAGUUCGAAGGUACGCUAGUUACGGUCGGACAUCGUGACGAUAGUGCAAUGGCAUAAGCGUGCUUAACUGCGAGACUAACAAGUCGAGCAGAUGCGAAAGCAGGACAUAGUGAUCCGGUGGUUCUGUAUGGAAGGGCCAUCGCUCAACGGAUAAAAGGUACUCUGGGGAUAACAGGCUGAUACCGCCCAAGAGUUCAUAUCGACGGCGGUGUUUGGCACCUCGAUGUCGGCUCAUCUCAUCCUGGGGCUGUAGCCGGUCCCAAGGGUAUGGCUGUUCGCCAUUUAAAGAGGUACGUGAGCUGGGUUUAAAACGUCGUGAGACAGUUUGGUCCCUAUCUUCCGUGGGCGCUGCAGAUUUGAGGAAGCCUGCUCCUAGUACGAGAGGACCGGAGUGGACGAACCUCUGGUGUAUCGGUUGUCACGCCAGUGGCAUUGCCGAGUAGCUAAGUUCGGAAGAGAUAACCGCUGAAAGCAUCUAAGCGGGAAACUCGUUUCAAGAUUAGAUCUGCCGGGGCCUUGAGCCCCCUAAAGAGUCGUUCAAGACCAGGACGUUGAUAGGUCAGGUGUGGAAGCGCAGUAAUGCGUUAAGCUAACUGAUACUAAUUGCUCGUGCGGCUUGACCA